UACGUAGGGUGCAAGCGUUGUCCGGAAUUAUUGGGCGUAAAGAGCUCGUAGGCGGUUUGUCGCGUCGGCUGUGAAAACCUGGGGCUUAACUCCGGGCCUGCAGCCGAUACGGGCAGACUAGAGUUCGGCAGGGGAGACUGGAAUUCCUGGUGUAGCGGUGAAAUGCGCAGAUAUCAGGAGGAACACCAAUGGCGAAGGCAGCUCGCUGGAACGGUACUGACGCUGAGGCGCGAAAGCGUGGGGAGCGAGCAGG
rnacentral:rRNA from 1 species